ACAGAAUGGCUGAUAAAGGCAUGGAACUGUAAAUUCUUUUAUAAACGUUG
rnacentral:tRNA from 1 species